UCUGGUGACUUGACGCGGCGGAACCACCUGUUCUCAUUCCGAACACAGAAGUUAAGCGCCGUAGUACCGAUGAUACUCGUAAGGGGAACGUAGGUAGUCGCCAGUA
rnacentral:rRNA from 1 species